rnacentral:lncRNA from 1 species
CCAACUUGAUCAAAUCAAGUGGCGCCCAAUCAAAACUAUCAAAAAAAUUAAUUAAGAGCUUGAACCCUUAAUUCAUUUGAUCCAAAAUUCUAGGCACCCAACAAUUGAAGCCCAAUGAAUCUAAUUCAUUUUGGUUAUUAGUAGGUAAUUAAAUUUGAAUUAAUCUUAUCAAAUAAAAAAUUUAAAUGUAAAGAAAAAAUUGCGUCCAACCAUAUGCUGGUA